UCGCCUUUUGAAUCAAAGUAAGUAGGUAGUAGGGGCUUCAUAGCUACUUUAAUUCUAAAGGAAACCUAAAAACCAACCUUCAGUCAGUAGGAGCCCUACUUCCCUCUUUGCGACCUCAUCACUUCAAUUUAAGCGCAAACCCAUUUCUUUUUUAGAGUGAGUUUGGAUGGGUGGUGGUUUUACCUGCGGUUAGUGUAAAAAUAGCGGUGACAGUGAGAUUAGAUACUGUAACGUGAGACAAAAAGUAAGCUAAAUGCACCGCACCUAAUCGCUCAUCCAAAUCCACCCUUAGUCACCGGGCGGAGCGCACCUUUGGUACUUCAGUAGGGCAAGCUGUUUGAUAGUGACUUCUUUCAUUUGCUAGGGCGACGAAAGGCUACUUCCAUCUAGGAAACAGUCAGAAACUCGAGAGGGUCGACUUUGGAAGCGUUCGCCAGUAACCAAAGCGUCACUCCCUCCUUUUGAUUAUGUCGUGACGCUGACUGAAUCCAAUCCAUUACCCCGGAAACGAAACAAAGUUCGUUCCCUUUCGUCAAGUAGGCAUACGAACCACUUACUUUUGCUUUGCCUUAGACUCUAUUAGAAUAAAGCAAAGAAAUAGGCAAAAUGGAGAAAGGAAAGGGACAAGGGCGGUCUUGCUUGGCGCGAAGGCUGCUGGUUUUGAACUUGCUUUUGUUAUGGAACUUUUGAGUUUCUGAAAAUGGGUAUAAUUUUAGAUUAUUCAAAGUUUUUGAGUUUGAAACUUGUAGAAAUGCGAAAACUAUGCAGGGCAACCCAGUUGCUGUUCUUGGACAGUCAAUAUCUUUUGGGAGAUUUAUGUCAGAUCAGUCCUUAGCUUGGGAGAAAUGGUCAACUUUUUCUCACAAAAAAUAUGUAGAAGAGGCUCAGAGAUAUGCUGGACCCGGUUCAGUUGCUCAAGAGAAAGCUUUCUUUGAAGCUCAUUACAAGACCCUUGCAGCUAGGAAAGCACUGCUUGAGCAAGCCAAAGCUAAUGAAGGUAUGGUUCAGGAUAUUGGAACCCAAGUUUCAGAGAUAAUGAACUCAAGCUCUCAAAUGGCAGCCCUUGGCCAUGAAGAAACUGGCUCCAUUUAUGAUGGUAAAGAGAAUAAUAACUCGGAUUUUGUCGAGUUUGAAAGCAGCUUAGUGGAAGGAGCUGACUCAGUUGGUGAACACAAUGUUCUUGUGGAAAUUAAUUUGAAGAAUGAAGCUGAUAUUAAAGAUUUGGAGCUUAGUGAAACAACCCAUGUGGAGAAUCUCGAGAAGAAGGUUAACCAGUAGAGAAAGCUUGAGGAAGGAAUGGAAUUGGAGCUCAGUGAAGAAACCCAGAUGGAGAAACCUCUACUUAAGGUGUCAAGUUAUGGAAGAAGAACCAAAGUGCCAUCUUCAUCUGCUAUUCGUCCCAACAAAGGGAAUAAUGUCACUCCAAUGUCCAACAAGUCUGCAAUGAAGAUUUCUGAUAGAAAGAGAUCAACUCCAAAAUCAAGCCAUAAGUUUAUCAACUCCACCCCUGCAAAAGAAAUCAGUAGAUUAACUUCCACCAUUAUUAGAAAGAUAGAUGGUUCUAGAAUUGCUUCCAAUUUUAAACCAUCUAAAGAAUGCCCC
rnacentral:lncRNA from 1 species